rnacentral:lncRNA from 1 species
CACAACUAACGGAAAUGGAAACCAAAUUUGCGCAUGCGCUUUUAGUAAUCACGCGCCAUGUUCCUUUCUCAAUCAAAAUAUUAUCGCCAAGAACACAAGUUCGGAUAACAUUCUUAUACGUGUAGCUACGGAUGGUUUCUCUGUUCGAUUUUCUUGUCAGUGUCCGUAAUGAUGUCGUUGGAAUAUAAAUCCGACAUAUCUGUACAGAUUUUCUCAUAUUCCUAACAUUUGAGGUAUAUAGUAUGGUAACACGUUUUCAUUCUAAGUUUUGUUUAUUUUUUUUGCCUUUAAAUGUAAACAGCUGCGUGUUGACAUGUUAUCUUGUAAUGUCGAUUUUUACAUUACUAUUUAUUAUAACAACAUUGGCUUACUAUUACAUUAUAUAUACACACACACACACAUGCAGGCGUUGGUAUCCCAAUUGCCUGUCCCCACCUCACUACUCUGACAAUAUACGUAAAAAUAUUACAGUAGUAUGUCCAUUCAUUGAGAAUAUCGGAUAGAAUGUCUUGUAGCAUUUGUUCCGGCUCUCUUAGGUUUGAAUUAAACCCCUACAUCUAAUGUCUUUGAAUAAAGGACCAGUCACUAUGAUCGAUCCAUCUCUUUCUCUCCCAGAAUCGACGGUAAAUUUGGAAAAAAUUUACCGAAUCGACUCUGUUGGGGGUGUGACGACUAACAGUGCUUCACCCUUCCCAGAAAUUGAUAAAAGUUCAGUGUGAAGCUUCUUACUUAUCAUAGGAAGACUGAUAUAUGUACUACUGGAAUCGUCCGAACACAUCCGGAUGUGCGGCACAACAUGGAACGGAAAUUAAAAAAGAACCAUCACCAGCCUCACUGAAUACAGGAAAGCUGUGUUGAGUUGAUUUAAUAUUUUAGACAACUUACAAUGUAACAUACACCGGCACAAAAAUAUCUGCCUCUUAUAAUACACUAUUAUGUUUUUUCGAAUAUUUUUUUUUUAUCCCCGUCUGUCUUGAUAGACAGUGGGUUGCGCCAAGGGUGGGGCCUACUUUGAUGAUGUGCAGCGUCUGCUGUGACUCAACAGUCCAAUUCUAGAGUGGCAGUCCUUGGUACAGUUGCUGCACACGAACAUCGAUGGGUACGUGUGGGGUGUUGCUGCAGUUGUCCUCCUCCUUUUUUCGAAUAUAUAUAUAUAUAUAACGAUAGAACCUCUCUAAUCAGCGCUCUAUGCAUAUUUUUUAUACUUGUAAUAAAUACUAUUUAAAGAAAUUAAAUAAUUUCAACAUUAAAUGCGUAUUUCAAAUGGUCAACACGACACUUCCGAAAUGUUCUCUAAUUGUUAGAACUGUCGGAAAAUGCCUUGUGGUAUUUCUUGCGGCUCUUUACAUUCAGAGUUCAAAUCACGACGAGGUCAGUUUGCUUUUCAACGCACUGGGGUCGAUAAAAUAAAGUACCAGUCUAGCACUGAGGUCGAUGGUAUCGAUAGACACCACUCAAAGCAUCUGCCUUUAUGCCUAAGCUAAUGGAAUUGUUGGCACGUCGAACAAAAUGCUUACUGGCAUAGUAUUUCUUGUGACUGUUCCAAGUUCAAAUUCCACUGAGGUUAGCUUCGCAGCCCUUUAAUCCUAAAACCGUUAUGUUUUCAGAACCUCUAACAUUGGUGGUAGGGAGAGUGUUAAUCAAUUAUUCUGUAACUAGCUGACCGCUUCGUAACUGAGUGAAUUCCACUUUAGGCACUCAAGAAUCUGGUAAUGGUGUUAAAGUGCUAGACAGAUUAUAUCCACCCCUGAAGAACUCAGAAUACAAAGAGUCAAGAAAAAAAAGACAUUUCAUUCACCUCUGUAAACCAUUCUGCUAAUCCACUGCUCUAGACUUUUAUUUCAACAAACUCCAUAAAAAAGUUGAAGGCAAAUUCCUUAAACUAUCUGUGACCACCUUUUGGUCUGUGAUAUAAACUUCUUGUUUUAAAAGGAUAAAAAUCCUUCCUGAGUCAUAUAGACCCAUAGGGCCAGAUUCUGUGACAUAUUUAUUCCCCACUGGAUGGGAUACCAGUCUGUCACAGACAUCUCAAAAUAAAUACAGUAACGAAAGGGUUAACCAUUAAGCUUCACACCUCAACAUCUUGUUUUAAAAUGAUCUAAAUUAAAACUUUCCAUCAAUUCAUGUUAAUUUAUGCUCUAAACACCAAUAACAAAGUUAUUUAACUAAAGCUUUCCUUUUGUAAAUAGAAUUAUAAGCCUUCACCAUAUAUUGACUAUGGAAUAUAGUCUCAUUAAUAAUAGACUAUUUUCCAUAGAAGUCCAAAUAUUAGACUAUUUUCUAUAGUCUCAUUUUAUUGCUGGAACCUUAUAAUUCUAUUUACAAAAUUUCAAUCUCCACUAUUUCCUAAUUCAUGCAGAAUUUGCAUAAAGUUUUCAUUAUUUUGAAAAUUGCAUGUAACAAGGGCAGAGUAUAUCUACAGAAAUAUAUUAACAAAAGGAUUAAAUAUAGCAAAACUCUGUACAGCUUUUGUCUAUUUUAUUUCUCAAUGAAAAGAAAAGUAAUGUACUCAACUCCUCCUCCAAUUGUGGAGUGAAAAUUUAUUUUGGUAGAAUGUAGAAGAUUGCAGCUUCUGUUUACCAUAUUACAUUUUCAAACACUGGUCUUGUCAGCUAUGAGGGAUCACUCAUCAAGAGACAAAUACAAACCAGCUAUGGAGUUCCAAUGGACCCACUGCUGUCCUUUAGGCUCAGAGAUGUGUGUGUGUAUAGAUAGAUAGAUAGUUACAUAAAUAGACAGACAGACAGACAGGUCGAUAGAUAGAUAAAGAAGAAGCCGCAGUUUCAAACUAGACAUUAUUGAAAGGUUUAAAUGUAAAAAGGAAUUCACGGUUUCAUCUCGCAGUAGGAGUGAGAUACCCGUCUCAUUUGCAUUAUUUAUAUAUCAUUUCACAUAUCAUCCUUCAUGUGUUUUAUGUCCCCUCUAUAUUUAGGCCUUGUGCCUGUAAUACAGAGAAGAAGUGUAGAAAAGCAGACAAAACUGAUGAUUAUAUAUAAAUCACGUAAAAAGCACCAUCCAUCCGUGGCCGUUUGCCAGCUCCGUCUGGCACCUGUGCGGGUGGCACGUAAAAAGCACCCACUACACUCACGGAGUGGUUGGCGUUAGGAAGGGCAUCCAGCCGUAGAAACACUGCCAGAUCAGACUGGGCCUGAUGCAGCCUUCUGGCUUCACAGACCCCAGUUGAACCAUGCUAGCAUGGAAAGCGGACGCUAAAUGAUGAUGAUGAUGAUGAUGAUAUAGAUGGUGAUGGUGCCACAUAAAAAGCACCCAGUACACUCUGAGGAAUGGUUGGCAUUAGGAAGGGCAUCCAGCCAUAGAAUCCAAGCCAAAACAAACUAUGGGACCAGAUGUAGCCCCUGGCCUUUCCAGUUCCUGUCAAGCCAUCCAACCCAUGCCAGCAUAGAAAACGGAUGUUAAAUGAUGAUGAUGAUGAUGAUAUAUAUAUCUUUGUGUUUGUCUAUCUACCCAUGUAGGUACAUUGUUUCUGUGCAUAUUGUAAGUGGCAACAAAAAUGGUCUGUGUCACAAAAAAAUAGGCUCAGAAAGUCUUGUUCGAUAAACAUCAACUUAGUAAAACAGCUCUAAACUUGAUGGUUAAUAUAUUGCACUCAUAAUCAUGGGAUCAUAGUUUCAAUUCCCUAGCCAGGCAGUGCAUUGUGUUCUUGAGCAAAGCAUUCACUUUGCCAUCUAAUGUGUGGCACCUGUACAGGCAAUAUUGAUUCAAUGGUGGAGGUGAGCGAAGGUACAGUGCAAGCAUGUAAGCCUAGCACUUAUUCUAUUGGUCUCUUUUGCUAAACUGCUAAGUUAUUUGGAUGUAAGCACACCAACAGCGGUUGUCAAACAAUGGUGGGGGGAAACAAACACAAACACACAAGCAUACACACACACAUAUAUAUAUAUAUUUAUAUAGGGUAGGAACUCUUUGACUGUUCUUUCUUGUAUGUUAGGCUUGCCUCUUUGUGUAUAAAUGUACACUAAUUUGUAUAUAUAUAUAUAUAUAUAUAUAUAUAUAUAUAUAUAUAUAUAUAUAUAUACAACGGGCUUCUUUCAUUUUCCAUCUACCAAAUCCACUCACAAGGUUUUGGUCGGCUUGACGCUAUAGCAGAAGACACUUAGACAUUUCCCCAAGGUGCCACGCAGUGGAACUGAACCUGGGAUCAUAUGGUUGGGAACCAGCCAUACAUAUGCCUAUAUAUAUACACACACAUAUUAUUAGUUACAGGCAUUGUAGUGUAAACAUACUGGAGCACCUUCAAUGAUCAUAUUGACCCUAGUACUUAUUCAAUCAAACCGGAACACGUUUGUGUGAAGGCCUUGUGGUUGGGGUGUUCAACUUGCUAUCGUAAUAACAAGAGUUCACAAAUGUACAUAUAUAGGACUGGCUUCCUUUAGUAAACUAGAACCACUUACACGGCUAUAACAGGAGACACUUCCGCAAAUUGGGAUUGAACCGAAAAUCAUGCAGUUGAGAAGCUAACAUCUCACCCACUUUCAAGGGAGAGAACUUGUAUUAUUCUUUUCUACUCUUGUAUUAGAGUUGAAGAUUUUUACUGGUAUUAAUUUUUUUGAUAUGCAUUUUACUCUUUUACUUGUUUCUGCGGCCAUGCUGGAGCACCGCCUUUAGUCGAGCAAAUCGACCCCGGGACUUAUUCUUUGUAAGCCCAGUACUUAUUCUAUCGGUCUCUUUUGCCGAACCGCUAAGUGACGGGGACGUAAACACACCAGCAUCGGUUGUCAAGCAAUGCUAGGGGGACAAACACAGACACACAAACAUAUUCACACACACACUAUUAUAUAUAUACAUAUAUACGACAGGCUUCUUUCAGUUUCCGUCUACCAAAUCCACUCACAAGGCAUUGGUCGGCCCGGGGCUAUAGUAGAAGACACUUGCUCAAGAUGCCACGCAGUGGGACUGAACCCGGAACCAUGUGGUUGGUAAACAAGCUACUUACCACAGAAUGCAUUUAUGUUUUUUUUUUUUUUGUUUUUGUUUUCUUCCUAAUUGAGUUUAACUUUCGCCAUCAAUACUUAUUUAAUGCUUAAACUUUUGACAACUGUUUGUUUUAUUUUUCAGUUUCCUGAAUUACGUCCCUUCGAAACAGUUAAAUAACAGACUCUGUAAAUAUGUCAGAAGUUGAAGCUCCUAAAGUCCGGUCACAGCCAUCCUGUCAACAGUCUUAUAUAAGAUUUAUGAACUGUACUGAAAGAGAAGUUGAUAUAGUUUGGUUGAACUAUGAGGGUGUCAGUGUCCAUUAUAAAACUUUGUCAUCCCAGCAUUGGGUUGAUGUGAACACCUUUGUCGGACAUCCAUGGAUUUUUCGGGAUACAAAUACGGGUGACAAAUUAGUAGUCCAGUUGAAGGAGGUAUAUGAACCAGUGGCUCACUGCUACCAACGUGAUGGCACUUCUCGCAGAGUUGUUAACAUUGUAAUACCAGGUAUAUGUUCUGUUUUAUCUUUUAUCUUGUUUUGGUCAUUAGACUGCAGCCAUGAAGGGGCAUCGCCUUGAAAAAUUUUUAAUCGAAAGAAUCGACCCUUCUACGUUUUUUUAAAGCCAUGUCCUUAUUCUGUCACCAACACCAGCUGUCAAGCAGUGACAGGGGACAAACAAAGGCACAUGCAUAAAUAUAUAUAUAUAUAUAUAUGCACACACACACAAUGUGCUUCUUUCAGUUUCUGUUUACCAAAUUCUUCUACUAUAGCCCCAGGCUAUAGCAGAAGAAUUGUUAUAUAUUGUUAUCUGUGGAGUCAUAUUUUGUAGGAAAAAGAAAUAACGGUCUUUUGGCUGCUAUUUCUAAAUUUUCGGUAUGUGGUGAAGCAACUUGUUGCUAAAUCCUUAAAUAUUGUUAUAAGUAUAUAUAACAUCAUCGUUUAACGUCCGUUUUCCAUGCUAGCAUGGGUUGGACGGUUCGACCGGGGCCUGGGAAGCCAGGAGGCUGCACCAGGCUCCAGUCUGAUCUGGCAGUGUUUCUACAGCUGUAUGCCCUUACUAACACCAAUCACUCUAUACCUAUUUCUUUACUACCCACAAGGGGUUAAACACAGAGGGGAUAAACAAGGACAGACAAACAGAUUAAGUCGAUUACAUCGACCCCAGUGCGUAACUGGUACUUAAUUUAUCGACCCCGAAAGGAUGAAAGGUAAAGUCGACCUCGGCGGAAUUUGAACUCAGAACGUAGAGACAGACGAAAUACUGCUAAGCAUUUCGUCUGGUGUGCUAACGUUUCUGCCAGCUCGCCACCAGCACAGGUGCCAGGGGGUUCUGCAACAGCUAUGAAAGGUUGGUGCUUUUUACGUGCCACCGGCACAGAAGCCAGUCAAGCCGGCGCUGGCAUCAGCCACAUUCGGAUGGUGUUUUUUACAUGCUACUGGCACAGGCAUCACAACUACAAUUUCCAUUUGAUUUUUUGAUGUUGAUGUACUUGACUCAAUAUGUCAUCUCAAGCACAUAUAUAUAUAUAUAUAUCAGCUGUAUGUAUUUCUAACACUACAUUUUUCCAGUGUAUCCUUUCCUAAUUAUUUAACAUGGCAAGAUGUGAUUUGAGGGGAAUUUACUUCCUGUAUCUAGCAGGUGGAACACUUGGGCUAAAGUCUUACCUUGUUGGCAUGAAGUAAAAGCUGUUGCUGUUCUGUGUUCUUAAAUCGGUCAUUGAACAAAAUUCUGAUAAAAUACAUUCAAAUCAUUAGCAUCUGGUCAUUCGUAUAUCAUGAACUCUGCUGUCCAAUAUUGCCUUCAUUUAAACCACCGUGAAAGCUUUGGCUUGUUUUCAACAGGUUAAACAGUGUUGGCCGGUUGAAAUAACAGACACGUUAGUUCAUUACUGCAGUUAAGCAGCCACCUUUAGAGAUGGUGUGAGAUUUACUUAGUUAUAAAGAGUGAUUGAAUGCAAUGUUGUUUUGGUUGUGUAGAUACAUAUCACCUUGGUAGGCAAGGUAGGCAGUGCCUACCCUGAAUGUAAUAGAUCAUUAGUAACAUUUUCCUUUUAUGGCAAAAUAGGCACCUAAUUUAAUAAAAUUAUGAAGGUUACUCUGACUAUUAUGAAUAAAAUGCAAAAUAUUUUAUUUUUUAUAGAUUAGGUGGCAUAAUUCGCCCCUGCUUUUCAGUCUCAGUAUUAAAACUAUGCAUAGUACUGCUGUAGUACACAUGCUGUGUACAUUCCUACAACGUUUUCUUUACAUGCUAUAAAGGCAGAAGUAAAUCUGCCUCCAGCUCAGUCACAUGCCUGUGUUUUGCAUUUUUUUGUGUGUGUGUUUUACUACAUAAACAUCACCAACUGCCUACCCUGAGUAAUUUACUUAUGGAACAUGCCUGAUAUCAACAUUUUAACAUCAUUUACUAUCAUUUUCAUUUUACAUCAGUUGUCAAGCGAUGUUGGGGAGACAAACACAGAUACACAUACAUAUACACACAUAUAUAUGUACAUAUAUACGACGGGCUUCUUUCAGUUUCUGUCUAGCAAAUCCACUCACAAGGCUUUGGUCGGCCCGAGGCUAUAGUAGAAGACACUUGCCCAAGGUGCCACGCAGUUGGGAAUGAACCUAGAACCAUGUGGCUGGUAAGCAAGCUACUUACCACACAGCCACUCCUGUGCCUAUGUAUAAAAUAAUUAUCAUUUAGUCUAAUCAAAUCCUUUUCAUUCCCCCUCACCACUUGCCAAAAGUAUUGUGAGCUUACAUUUUUUUUAGAAAUCACAGUUAUUAGUAUUAGCACUGAGGUAGUGAAUGUUAGAAACCAAGUAGUGUGUUGCAGCCAAAUAACUUGCAGUAUUUAGUUAUGUCCCUUUACAUUGUCAUUUGAAAUUCUUUUGCUGAUAAGCUUUGCUUUUCAUCUUUCAGAAGUUUAUAAAAUAAAUGUCUAUUAUGGACGUGUGUCAUUACAAAUGACUGAUUACUUCCAGGAAGUUUGUGGCCUUGUGUCAGUGUUAGAAGAAAAAAAAAAAAAAUAAUAAUAAUAAUAAUAAUAAUCAUCGUUUAGCGUCCACUUUCCAUGCUAGCAUGGGUUGGCCGGUUCAACUGGCGUCUGGGAAGCCAGAAGGCUGCACCAGGCCCAGUCUGAUCUGGCAAUGUUUCUAUGGCUGGAUGCAACAUUUCACCUGUAUUAGCACCUGUGGUAUUCAAGUAUAUAAAAAGGCGGCGAGCUGGCAGAAACGUUAGCACACCGGGCGAAAUGCUUUGCGGUUUUUCGUCUGCUGUUACAUUCUGAGUUCAAAUUCCGCCGAGGUCGACUUUGCCUUUCAUCCUUUCGGGGUCGAUAAAUUAAAGUACCAGUUAUGCACUGGGGUCGAUGUAAUCGACUUAAUACCUAUGUCUGUCCUUGUUUGUCCUCUCUAUUUUUAGCCCCUUGUGGGUAAUAAAGAAAUAGGUAUUCAAGUAUAUUUGAUUAAUAUUUUUUUUCUCUCUCUCUCUCCCUUUCAGUUUACAACCUAAAAGAAUGCUGCCUGCAAAAAUUAAGGGCCAUCAUUCCAUGUAAUCAAAUUGAUGAUUUGGAACUACCAAAAAGCCUAAUAGGAGAACUGAAAAAGUAUUUUCACAAGAGCUCAUAUCUUGGCAAACCUGUUUCCGUAUCUAAGAGUUGAGGUAUACCAGUACAACAGUAUGGUUGGUUUGUGAUAAAACCUUGCUAAUUGUGUAUAUGCACAUUUCUAGACAUGGAUCAAUAAGUUCAUUUUGUCUAUCGUGUAUGUGUGCGUGCAUGUGCUUAUAUGUAUAUAUGUACACCUCCUCAACUUCAACCUAUGCAACUUACGACCAUCUGCACUUAUGACCACGAAAAAUAAGGAAAUGAAAAAAUCAAUUAAUUAAUAAAAAAUCAAUUUUUGGACAUUGGGCGGCUGUGCAUACUAUAAACUAUGACAGCAUCUGGCAACACUGGACUCCCUCAGACCUUGACAUCCACUGACCGCGGCUGUGUCUCACUCAGUUGCUUUCAAGCAUCAAGUUGCGUUUGAAUGAAAAUGAUGUUGAUAAAAUAUAAAUCCGACAUACAUCCAGAUCAACUUACGACCUGUCACUUGGAACAGAACUCGGUCAUACGCCGAGGAGGUGUAUAUGAAAUGUGUGUGUACAUAUGGUUGACAGUCUGAACAAAAAUCAAACACUCAGUAUAAUGUAGAGUAUGAAAUAUCUGAGGAAAUAGACAGAGGUUAACUGUUCAUUGACUGACUAUGAGUUUCACAACAAAUUUAUGGCCAUAGAGCAGAAGCCCUACCUACUAACACAAACUAAUAAUCUUGUUCUUGUUGGUAAAAACAUAAUGGUACUGAGGAACAGAAAUACUAUGAUUAUGAAUAACAAUAUUUCUUCCAGUGAAGUUAAGAGUCUGUUGAUGAACAAACAGUUUGUAUGUAUAUCUAUUAUGUGCGUAAGUGGAGAGAGAAAGAAAUUAUUAUAUAGACAUAUGCAUACAAACAUAUGUUUAUAUAUUUAUAUUUGUAUAUAUAUAUAUAUAUAUAUUACAUGUAUGUGUAAUAUAUAUAGAUUCAGAUGAAUAUGGUACCUAAGUUGAGGCACCAGAAUUUCGUACAGUAUUACUCUGCAUUUAAAUUGAUGUAAUGAUUGCAUUGUUCAAUUAAAUGGAGUUGCAUGAAACGAUUGUACCGCAUUACCUCUGGAUAUCCUUAUUGCUUAUUUUGAUUUUAUAUAUAUAAUAUUAUAUAUAUAUAUAUAUAUAUAUAUAUAUAUAUAUGUGUGUGUGUGUGUGUGUGUGUGUGUGUGUGUGUGUAUAUAUAUAUAUAUAUAUAUAUAUGCACACACACUUAUAUGUAUAAAUACAUACCAGAACAAUUAUACUCAAAAAUAUAUAUUUAUAUUUCUCAUGCUCUUUAUAUAUAUAUAUAUAUAUAUGUGUGUAAUACACACUGAACAUCUUAUAUAUUGAAAUAAACAAUUUAUCUCUAUGUUUUAUGGAACACAAAUUU